GAGAUCCCAUCCUUGCUCCAGCCUGCGUCAAGCCAACUUGUGAGGACUGGUUGGCCACUUGGGUGCCUCUGCAAUAUUCACCCCUCCCAUGCUCUCAGGACUCCUGAUUGUGCCCGUUCUUGGAUCCACUCUGCAGAGGCACAGAUGGUUAUAAAGGUCAUUUUUCUGAGCUGGAGAAGAUAGAACAGAAAUAAACAACUUCAAUAAAGGCACAUCAGAUCUCCAUAGUUGUCAUGUGUUUUUGGCAUCCAAACCAGAGCCUACACACAAUAGAGUGUUUGUCCACCACGACAGCUCAUCUUGGGCAAUGAGGACUCUCCGGACAUCUGCCUCCUGUCACUAUCGAUCAGUUUGAGCAGAUCACUGCAAUUAAAUACAGCCAAAGGAACUGAAGAGGACCAUUAGUGUUCCAGUGCAGAAGUUACAAUACAACCACCAGGU
rnacentral:lncRNA from 1 species